ensembl:misc_RNA predicted gene, 26350
AGUAGUAAGUGUAAACUGCCUACAACCUCAUCUGAUUGAUCACUAGGAUUGGUUUGAUUGAUCUGGCUGGCUUGGUUGGUAUCCCUUUCCUACCUCCACUUUGUCCCUUCUUGAGCCCUGAGUCAAUGUGACCUUCCCAGAAUAAAGGAGGAGUAAUCUAGAAUCAAGGGUAUACAAGUAGCUGCCCAAUUGAAAUCAGCAAGUAAUUUCUUGGGCUUCAAGAGUACAUUUUAAAUUGGGCAUUUAAUUAGUAACUCAAAGCAGUUUUCACAAUCCAUAAUGAUCAAU